AUUUCAACUCAAUGUCACUCAAUCCAUUCCAACUAUUAACCAUUCAGUUAAUUGUUUAAACAAUUAUACAACAUCACCAAACAGAUGGAUUAGAAACAACAAAAUACAAGUUGAACUGUUGGAUAGUUGCAAAAAAUUGUUGGAAAAAUUCAACUGAAAAAUGAAAUUCAAAAGCAACUUUAAUGAAGCUGAAGCUUGAUGACGAUGAAUAAGAUGGAAAAAAAUGAUGAAAAAAGAUGAGAAUAAGAAUGAUAAUGAUGAUGAGGAAAGAUUGAAGGUGAUCGUGUGUGAUGGCGUUUUACUGAAUGCGUGCUACAGCAAGGAGUGGCAGUUAUAUAUCAACCUUUUUUUCAUAAUAUUAUUUUCAUUCAUAAAAAAAGCGUUCUGAAUGUUUUUUACUAAUUUUUCUUCUUCUUCUUUUCUCUUUCAGGCCUUUUUUCAAUGAGGGAGUACAAACGAUGAUCCAUACUCCCUCUCCUGCCUCCUCCUCUCUGUCUCUCGAUGUUUACCAGUAUUGGCAUAACGUGAUAAAGGAGCGCGAUUCUUCCUCCAAGAUCGUGAUUGAAUACACCUUAAAAAUAUUUAAUACUUUACGAUCCCAACUCUACAAAACUCAAAUACCUUCUUUCCUCUCACCCAGAAGAUUCAAGACAUUGGCAAAUGGACGAGAAUGAUGAUGAUGAUGAGAAGCAAAAAAGACCAAUCAUUUGGCAUCUGAAGGUGCUGCAAUAAUAUUUCAAACAAGAUUAAGAUGAUGAUGAAAGAGAAUAAUACUGAUUUUUUGUUUUGUUUUCUUUUCCAUUCAAAUUGCAGUUACCCUUAAUUGCGAGUUACUUUAGUUUUUUUUCUUCAUUACAAUUCUCCCUCUCAAUGCGCUCCUUGUCACGAUGCGAAACACUCAUAAGAGACCUCAAUUACCAUUUUAUCCGUAAUUAAAUCGAAGCUGCUUCAUCUUUCCUCAAUCUCUUGUAUCAUCAUCUUUACCAUCUUCUGCUUCAUCAUCAUUCUCAUAACCAUCAUCUCCCUCCCAGCUUCAUGGAGCAAACAAAAAAGUUAACAAAACAAAAGCAAUUCUUCAAACCUCCCUCACCUCCGAAAAUUCAUCCUUUACUUUCAUUCCAAACAGACAUAUAGAAUAGAUAGACUUUCCGAGAUUCUGUUUGAAGAUAAUUUCUGUUUCAUGAAUUUAUUUUUCUUCAACAUUUCUUCUUCUCAUCUUUUUCUUUGCUUCUGAUGAUUCUUUAUGACGCCAACCACAUCAUCAUUGUUCAUCUUCGGGAGGAGAUUUUUUUUCUACCUUUCUUCUUUUUCUCUUUCGUCUUGAUCAUUCUUUUCAUUUUGCAUUUUCAAGCUUUAAUUUUGAUAAUAGCAGGUAACACAAAAAGGAUCAUCAUAAUCAUUAUUUAUUAUUAUUUUCAUCUUUCACAUGCCAUUUAGACAAUGAGAUGGCCCUGAUUAUUGCCAAAAGAUACAUUCACCUACAAAAUGUGAUAAUGCAUAAUAUAUAUUUCCUCCUCAAUCUGCAAAUGGAUACACCUUUCAUCUUCCUUCACCAUCAACAAAAUCAUCAUCUUUUUUCUUCUUCUUCUCCUUUGCUUUACUCAAUUUUUUUCCUUAAUGAUUGUUGCAGUUUAAUAUUAUAAUUAAACUGCCUUUGCUUCUGAUUAAGCAAAUGUUGACGAUCCUGAUGUGGCUGAUGAAGAUGGUGAUGAGCAUGAUGGUUGGUAGUUUACCUCGUACCAGUAAAAUAAAGUUAUGGCUGCUGCUGUUGAACGCUGCUGUUGCUGAUGAUAAUGAUGAAAUUAUUAAGAUGAUCAUUUUUUACUUAUCCAGCUUUUACUCCUAAAAGAGUUUCAUUUUAAAGCCAAAUGUGUUCAACAAUACAAAUCACAUUAUCACUUCACUCAUCAUCCGUCUAUGAUAAUAUUAUUGACAGAAUCCAAAUUUUCUUGUUACUUGGGUGUUUCCUACAGUAUUAUUGCUCUCACUCUCUCUUGCUGAUCUCUAUCUUUACCUGAGUUAAAACAAUCAGCUGACCAAACAGAAAGCCAUCAAUUGCUGUUUUUUUUACCAAACCUUAUUAAGAGACGAUAAUCAUCAUCAGCAUCAGCUUUAGUCUUUGAAAGUUGGCAAAAAACAGAAGACGAACAAAAUUAUCUACGGAAAUCACGCAUCCAAUAAUCAAAAUACAAAAGAUUAACUUCCUUCUUUCAACUUGGAUCUCACUCUCUGUAACUACCUUUGUCAGUAAUAUUACCCAGUAACCUAACUGACACGAGUUGCAAAGUAAAACGUGUUAAAACGCGUGUUGAACGCAAUUUUCAUGUGCCCAUAGAAAGCAUUACCUUUUUUUUAAUAUAUUUUUGUACUUUGAUUACAUCUGCUUUUACCGUUGUUUACUGUUGUAAUUUAGCGCUAAGUUUAUUACAUCUUUUACCUUUUCUCUCUUCUUUUCCAGAUUAUUUCAAAAGGUGAUUUUCCAGAGGCAAAACACGAUUUAUUGGUCUAAGGUCAAUAUCGUUACUCGAUCAAGCCAUUCAUCUAUUGUCAAUCUAUCAUUCAAGCCAAAGGACAUGAAGAGCGACACAAAAAGGCCCACAAAGUUUAUAAUCUAUAAUAGGCAAUGUCAUUAUCAAUGGUGACAAUGGUAACAUUAUAUAAAGAUAUUCAACUUUACAUAAUACCAAGUGAUCGGAGAGACUGGCCAAUAAGACCUUUAUUAGUUGACCAUUUAUCAAGAGUAAUGUCAAUUGCCAAUGGAAAUAAUUCAACAGAGAAAGCCUUUAUUUCUGCACACUUUUACCUUGAUCAGGUUUUAACCAUUCAAUCAACUAAUCAAUAAGCUAAAACUUGACUCAGGUUGGCUUAGUAUCACUUCGAUACAUCAUUAUCAUCAUCAUAAUAAUCAUCCUCUUCUUCAUCUUCCUUUCCUACAGUAUUUUGUAUUCAGAUCUGUUGUUAUUAUGCUCUAUCCAACUUUACCUUUUUGUCUUCAAAGAUUGACUUUACUAUUGUUUACCAUUGUGUCCAGUUUGAGACCUUUUCAAGUCUCGUCCACACCCAGAACACAAAAUAAAGCGAUCAAAUUGUUGACCACCCAAUAUAAACAUACAAUAUAAAAGCACACCAUUUACCUUUAAAUUAAUCACUUGAACACUUCUUUCUUCUCUCUCUCUCUUACCUGUAAAGUGAGGGCUCAAAGGCCUACAUUAACAGGUCUAAAUGAUGACACAAUGGAGACCAAAAGAGCCAAUUAUUACAUUAUCUGACUUUAUUCAAUUGUUAUUAAACCAUUUUCUCACCUUUACAAUUCAACCAAUAUAUAAAUCAAUGGAAGAAACAAUUUGGUCACAAAUUUUAAACCAACACUUGACAUGAACAAUCAAGGAAAGGCCUGAUAUUGAAAAGUCAAAAUUUACAAUAAAAAUUUUUACAAUCGAUUAGUGAUUGAAGCUGGAAAUUGCGGAUUGACUUGAAAAAUGCAUUGAUCAAGUUUGAUUAGAGCUGUUAAUCAUUUUAACAUUACAAUGUUACAAGAUGGUUAGUCUAAGUGGUUGUAAUAAUCAGUAAAUCACUUGAACGUUACUAAGAAGGAAAUAUCAACAAUUAGACAAUAAUUGACCUUGAUUGUACUUUGGACACUUAACCAAAUAAAUAAAUGGUCACCUCAAAUAAGGUAAAAUUACAA